UCCCGUGGGUACUGUCUAGUGGUCAGGAUUCGUGGUUUUCACCCACGUGGCCCGGGUUCGAUUCCCGGCACGGGAA